AGGGCAUACGGCGGAUGCCUAGGCGCCAAGAGCCGAUGAAGGACGCGGUAAGCUGCGAAAAGCCACGGGGAACUGCAAGCAAGUAUCGAUCCGUGGAUGUCCGAAUGGGGAAACCCAAUAGCCGUCAUGGGCUAUUACCCUGUAAUGGGGAGGGAACCCGGGGAACUGAAACAUCUAAGUACCCGGAGGAAGAGAAAUCAAACGAGAUGCCCCCAGUAGCGGCGAGCGAAGCGGGCAGAGCCUAAACCGGGAAGCUACGGCUUUCCGGGGUUACGGACCAGUAUAAUUGAAGCCAGGCCUAGUCGAAUUACCUGGAAAGGUAAGCCAUAGGGUGUAAGAGCCACGUAGACGAAAGGCAGAGCAGAGAGACUGGUAUCCAGAGUACCACGAAACACGAGAAACUUUGUGGGAAGUAGGGGGGACCACCCUCCAAGGCUAAACACUACUUGGCGACCGAUAGCGCAUAGUACCGUGAGGGAAAGGUGAAAAGAACCCCGGGAGGGGAGUGAAAUAGUACCUGAAACCGUAUGUCUACAAGCAGUCGGAGCGAAAGCGACGGCGUGCCUAUUGAAGAAUGAGCCAACGAGUUACGUGCACUAGCGAGGUUAAGCGGGAAACGCGGAGCCGCAGCGAAAGCGAGUCUGAAUAGGGCGAUAGUUAGUGUACGUAGACCCGAAACUGCAGUGAUCUACCCAUGUCCAGGUUGAAGCGCAGGUAAAAUUGCGUGGAGGACCGAACCCGUGAACGUUGAAAAGUUUUGGGAUGAGAUGUGGGUAGCGGUGAAAUUCCAAUCGAACGCAGAGAUAGCUGGUUCUCCUCGAAAUAGCUUUAGGGCUAGCCUCAGGUAGUAAGUAUAGGCGGUAGAGCACUGAUCGGGCUAGGGGGCGUAAAGUCUACCGAACCCUGUCAAACUCCGAAUGGUUAUACUGCAAAGCCUGGGAGUCAGACUACGGGUGAUAAGAUUCGUGGUCAAAAGGGAAACAGCCCAGACCACCAGCUAAGGUCCCAAAUGCCGUACUAAGUGGCAAAGGAUGUGGGGUUACAUAAACAACCAGGAUGUUGGCUUAGAAGCAGCCACCAUUUAAAGAGUGCGUAAUAGCUCACUGGUCGAGUGACCCUGCGCCGAAGAUUCCCGGGGCUAAAGUACGGAACCGAAGCUGUGGAUGCAUUGCUUGAGCAAUGCGUGGUAGAGGAGCGUUCCCAUCGGGUUGAAGUCGUUCUGUAAGGAACGGUGGACUGGUGGGAAGUGAGAAUGUUGGCAUGAGUAGCGAAAAGAAAGGUGAGAAUCCUUUCCACCGAAAGCAUAAGGAUUCCUGAGCAACGCUCGUCGUCUCAGGGUAAGUCGGGGCCUAAUCCGAGGCAUAAAGCGUAGGAGAUGGACAACUGGUUGAUAUUCCAGUACCGGUAAUGUUUGUUUGAGCAAUGGAGUGACACAGAAGGGCAGGCAAUCACGAGAUUGGUAGUUCGUGUGCAAGCAUGUAGGGUGGAGCGUAGGCAAAUCCGCGCUUCUGAGCCUGAGGUGUGAUGCGGAGGCAAGAAAUUGCCGAAGUUGCUGACCCCACGCUGUCGAGAAAAGCUUCUAGUUAGAACAUGACCGCCCGUACCGUAAACCGACACAGGUAUGCGGGGAGAGAAUCCUAAGGUGCGCGGGAGAACCCUCGUUAAGGAACUCGGCAAAAUGUACCCGUAACUUCGGGAUAAGGGUAGCCAUCAGGGUGAAGGGACUUGCUCCUGGAGCCUAGUAUGGUCGCAGAGAAGAGGCCCAAGCGACUGUUUACCAUAAACACAGGUGCCUGCUAAAGAGAAAUCUGACGUAUAGGUGCUGACACCUGCCCAGUGCCGGAAGGUUAAGGAAGGAUGUUCGGAUUAGUCCAAAGCAUUUGACCGAAGCCCCGGUGAACGGCGGCCGUAACUAUAACGGUCCUAAGGUAGCGAAAUUCCUUGUCGGGUAAGUUCCGACCCGCACGAAAGGUGUAACGACUUGGGCACUGUCUCAACGAGGGACCCGGUGAAAUUGAAAUACCUGUGAAGAUGCAGGUUACCCGCGACUGGACAGAAAGACCCCAUGGAGCUUUACUGUAACCUGACAUUGGGUUUUGAUGCAUUACGUACAGGAUAGGUGGGAGGCUUGGAAGCGAGGACGCUAGUCUUCGUGGAGCCAACGUUGGGAUACCACCCUUGAUGCAUCGGAAUUCUAACCGUAAUAUUAACACCAUUCGGGACAGUGUCAGGCGGGCAGUUUGACUGGGGCGGUCGCCUCCCAAAGUGUAACGGAGGCGCCCAAAGGUUCCCUCAGCGCGGUCAGAAAUCGCGCGAAGAGUGUAAAGGCAGAAGGGAGCUUGACUGCGAGUCAAACACGACAAGCAGGUACGAAAGUAGGGCUUAGUGAUCCGGUGGUUCCGAGUGGAAGGGCCAUCGCUCAACGGAUAAAAGCUACCCUGGGGAUAACAG
rnacentral:rRNA from 1 species